rnacentral:rRNA from 1 species
UACGGAGGGUGCGAGCGUUGUCCGGAAUCAUUGGGCGUAAAGCGCGUGUAGGCGGCUUGAUAAGUCUGCUCUGAAAGCCCGGGGCUCAACCCUGGGAGGCGGGUGGAUACUGUCGAGCUCGAGUCCGGAAGGAGGCGAGUGGAAUUCCUGGUGUAGCGGUGAAAUGCGCGAUAUCAGGAGGAACACCAAUGGCGAAGGCAGCUCGCUGGGACGGUACUGACGCUGAGACGCGAAAGCGUGGGGAGCAAACAGGAUAGAUCCCGGAGUA